rnacentral:rRNA from 1 species
GAUGAACGCUAGCGGCAGGCCUAAUACAUGCAAGCCGAACGGCAAGUCUUUUAGCAAUAAUAGACCUAGAGUGGCGUAAGGGUGCGUAACACGUAUGCAAUCUACCCGCAACAGGAGGAUAGCUCCCCGAAAGGGGAAUUAAGACUCCAUAAGAUCACACGAGGGCAUCCGAGGGUGAUUAAACUACCAGGGGUUGUGGAUGAGCAUGCGCAUGAUUAGUUAGUUGGCGGGGUAACGGCCCACCAAGACGAUGAUCAUUAGGGGAACUGAGAGGUUGAUCCCCCACACUGGCACUGAGAUACGGGCCAGACUCCUACGGGAGGCAGCAGUAGGGAAUAUUGGACAAUGGGUGCAAGCCUGAUCCAGCCAUGCCGCGUGCAGGAAGAAGGCCUUCUGGGUCGUAAACUGCUUUUUGCCGGGGGAUAAAAUAGCUUUGCGAAGCGAAUUGAAGGUACCUGGUGAAUAAACCAACGGCUAACUACGUG